GACGAACGCUGGCGGCGUGCCUAACACAUGCAAGUCGAACGGAAAGGCCCUGCUUUCGCCGGGUGCUCGAGUGGCGAACGUGAGUGUUACACAUGAGUCACCUGCCCUUUACUUUGUGAUAACUUCAGGAAACUGGGGCUAAUACCGGAUAGGAGCUCCUGCUGCAUGGGGGGCGUUGGACAGUUUCGGCGGUUGGGGAUGGACUCCCGGCUUAUCAGCUUGUUGGUGGGGGAGUGGCUAACCAAGGCUUUGGCGGGUAGCCGGCCUGGGAGGGUGACCGGCGACAUUGGGACUGAGAUACGGCCCAGACUCCUACGGGGGGCAGCAGUGGGGAAUAUUGCACAAUGGGCGGAAGCCUGAUGCAGCAACGCCGCGUGCGGGAUGACGGCCUUCGGGUUGUAAACCGCUUUCGCCUGUGACGAAGCGUUAGUGACGGUAAUGGGUAAAGAAGCACCGGCUAACUACGUG
rnacentral:rRNA from 1 species